AUUGAACGCUGGCGGCAGGCCUAACACAUGCAAGUCGAACGGUAGCACAGAGAGCUUGCUCUCGGGUGACGAGUGGCGGACGGGUGAGUAAUGUCUGGGAAACUGCCCGAUGGAGGGGGAUAACUCCUGGAAACGGUACCUAAUACCGCAUAUUGUCGCAAAACCAAAGAGGGGGACCUCCGGGCCUCUUCCCACCGAAUGUGCCCAGAUGGGAUUAGCUUGUUGGUGGGGUAAUGGCUCACCAAGGCGACGAUCCCUAGCUGGUCUGAGAGGAUGACCAGCCACACUGGAACUGAGACACGGUCCAGACUCCUACGGGAGGCAGCAGUGGGGAAUAUUGCACAAUGGGCGCAAGCCUGAUGCAGCCAUGCCGCGUGUGUGAAGAAGGCCUUCGGGUUGUAAAGCACUUUCAGCGGGGAGGAAGGCGAUACGGUUAAUAACCGUGUUGAUUGACGUUACCCGCAGAAGAAGCACCGGCUAACUCCGUG
rnacentral:rRNA from 1 species